GCCACACGCCACAUCCACAGGCUCCCCAGGCAUCGUCACCUGAACAGACAAGACCCAGCACACCGUGAGGAGGGAUGGCCUGGCAGUGGCCGAACAAGGGCCUGACCCUGGCUCUGCUCUGGAGGUUCUAGACGCAGAAAGCCGGUGCGAGCGUAGUGUCCCCUCAGGGAGCAACUUCAAAGACGGCGCACCUGCACCUGCACCUGCACCUGCACCUCCCCCUCAGCCCCUGCCAGGACGCUGACGCUGCUCUUCUGACCGGACCCGAAUCCCGCCGUCCCUCCCCAGUGGCAGCGCGCAGCGGGGCAGCGUGACAGCUGGAGAGGGAUCUGUAACAGCCUGCGGAGUUUACUGAGCUUCGGAGGGAAAGGCCUCGUCCAGAUGGCCUGCCCUAAAAGCCCAGAGGCAGCAACGUCAACCGUUCAGAGACAAGUCCAUUAGGGUCUCCCGGCCACGAGGCAAACGGAUGCUAGUAACCAAGUCGUGCUACUCACCCGUCCCUAAACAAACGCCUUCAGCAAAACCUGUUACAGAAAUCACUGAACAAACAUGCAGCGGUGUCCUGAGCUCAUCGCAAAGGCCCAGAGCUGCAGAAAGCGUUCCAGGCUGGCCAUAGAAGCAGAAGAAAACAUGCUGCCUGGGCUGACCAGGCCAGGUGAGCUCCUAGCAACCUCCCCGGGCCACGAGAGCACCUUUAUUGACCUCCCCCAGGAAAGGGCCACGCUCCGCGCUGACCCGCGGCCGAGCUGUCACACUUGGGCACCUCUGUCCUUGCUCCCCAAGGGCUGUGACCCUCAGAACCCAAAGCAGAGGCAGCCACCUCGCCUUGGCGGACGCCGGCCCCAGGAGCCUCCCUGGGGAGCAGCAGGUGGCUCCCGAGGCCCCAGCCACCCCCCCCGGCCAACUGCCUCUCAGUACAGCCUCUGAACUGAGUCCAAGAGAAGGCUGCCCUCAGCCACGUUUUAUUUGUGGCCUCAUCAGGGUUAAAAGGAGUUUCUAUUCUAAACCAAUCUACACUCACAUUGUUGCAAAGGCAAACAGUUCCAGAAAACGAACCAUAUUUGGCCUGAGUGACUCUGAAAAGUUUCAGCAGAAUCAGUGUAGGAACAGCUCUCUGCACAAGGACAAGUUCCCAAGACACACACACCCCCCAGGUGAAGGACAGAGGACGGCAAAGGAGGAGCGCUGGACCAGCUGUGAUCUGGCCACCGGACUUGCCGUGUCCCCACUCGGCUGCGCCCGAGAUGCCCUGCCCGGCGCCCAGAAGCCAGGCCACACCCCGGAGGGGAGCCGCUCAGCCUGCGAGGAGGCCCAGCCCCUGCGGCGCGCCCUCCCCUGGGGCGUCAGAACUGCCGGGGCCUGUGGCUCCUGAAGCAGCCAGUGAGACAACAGAACAGACUGGAGAAAGGUCCAACUACCCAACAAGAGACUAACCUUUAAGGAAUCCAACCUAGUUGAUCGAAAACCGGGUUCCUGUCACCACCACUCUCCCAGAGCCCCAGCCUCGCAUCUUGGAGCCGGCAUGGACCUCAGCGCCAUCCUCCCGACCAAAAGGUGACACGUGGGUGAAGGAGCUCCACAGACACACAAGGGGAGACAAUGGUGUGGGGCAUGAAAGCAGCCGUCACUGGAAAGACCAGAGUGCCCUUUCCCUGAUGGCAUGGAGGCCGGGAACGACACUUCAGAGGGACGUUCAGCGCAGGGGUCCGGCUUGACCAACAGGGCAUCCGCCCCCAGGCCUGCCACCCCACCACAGAGGCCAAGCCUGGCCCGGCCACUUGGACAACAAAAACGCUCUCAGACCUGAUUUCACAGCUGAUCUUCGCUCUGAUUGGGAGGACAUGAAGGCAGAGAAAGCACCGGAGUCAAGGCCUGCCGAGCUCAGGGGAGCCAGCAGCCAAGGGGAGGGCUGAGAGAAAGAGCCCCUAAAAUACCAAAGCCUCUGUAAACAGCUCUCGGGCACGUCCACUUCUUCAUCUCAACCCUCUCCCUCUCGGCGCCCCGAGGCACCCGUGUGCCCGAGGCCAGCCUCCGAGGAGGCUUCCUACAGGCACCACGGGGCUGGAAGCCCGGGCCCGGUGCUGGCCGGGCUGCUGCGUCAGGUGAGUCUGCCCUGCGGGCACGCCGCCCUCACGCCCGCCCAGCCCAGCCUUACCCUCCACGGGAAGUACUGGUCUUCCAGGCGACCGAUUCCCAGGCACCCUCGGACGUUCUUGCCCCACACAAAGAGCUCUCCUCUGUCUGCAAAUAAAGAAAAACGGCUUGGUUGGGGCUUGAGGCCAAGGGCAAGUCUCCAAGAGGAGGAAGGGUCAUGAGAAUAGGCUUUCUAGAACCAGGUACAAAAAGAUCAAAGUUAAACUUCAGUUUCUCCCAGGCAUUAAUGCUUUCUUCUAAGGGGACAAGUAUACAGUACCAUCCCCAUACCAAAAACACGUCCCGGCCCAGAUUCAUGCUGGGUCCCUCUCAUGGGAGAUGAACACAUGCCUGGAGGUGGGCCCAGGGGCUCCUGCACACGGCCCGCUCUGUGCGGCCCUUACACACACACCCUCACCACCCAGUUAUGUCCAACCGAACCCUGCCCUCCACAACUCCUGAAAUCUCAGCAUCCUCAAAUCCUGGUCACGCCCUGACAGAGUGAGAAGUAGGGCAAUUUGUCAUGUCUUGUCUGGGUCUCCACGUCUCAGGAGCAUUUGGUCAAGUGACACACGGUGACAGGGCGCCUCUCUGGGCCGAGUCUACAUCUGUGUGCUGGGAGCUGGGACAGCCCGGGGACUGACACGCACGUUCCUGUCCUCGCGGGGCUGGAGCCAGUUGAAGAGCGAAAAUUAAACAAAUGAUUAAACCACCUAAUGCAUGUUUUCAAAUUGGAAACAGUGCCAUGAAGGAAAAGGACAGGCAGGGUGCUGUAGGGGCAGGCCAGGAGACUGAAUCCAGACUGGGGCUCUGCGAACGCCGGCUCCAGGAUGGACCCUCAGACCGGGCAGGGCCCUCAGCGCAGACUUCCGUCCACACCGGCCUGGGGCAUCCUCGGCACAGAGCCCCCAUUUCCCAGCCCCCUCUGGCAGAAGGCUCUGGUCAUGGGAAGAAGAAGGGAAGACAUGGAGGAACCGGGACUGAAACAACCGGCUGAUUAAAUACGGGACCUUCCGCGACGCGCUGGCAGAGCCCUCUGGUCUCGCUGCCGUCCUUGGUCUUCCACCUCACAGGUGUGUUUAACAGAACAAUUCAGUCUGGCCCCCAGCACGUUAGCAGACCUCAGGGCAAACCAGAGGAGCCCAGGCUCUGAGGCGCCCUCUACCGAGGAACAGUCACUGGCACUGGAGGGUGGCUGUUGGGUCUUGGGGGAAACCUAGGUACGAUUUCAUUUCAGUGUGACCCCAAAUGGCCUCAUAGCACGACAGCAGACAAAGCAAAAUACCCUAGUCAAAGGCUUCGUACGGGUUUCCAAGUACAUGUACUUUGCACAUAGUUUAAGCCUUAAACACUGGGGAAAUAGGUUACUGUUACCUCCAGAAUUCGCCCACACUGACUCUAUCUGCUACAUCAAAAUAGCUUUAAAACGCCAAUGUGACACAGACGCAUUUGCAGAUGAAGGUGGCUGACCCAGCGAGAGGGGCGUGAGGGGUCCUCCACGCCGGUCACCACUGCUGCCACCCAGUGCCUCAGCGCAGACAACACUCCACGCACCGCCACAGCGGCCCACGCUGCAGCCGCCGCUGCUCAAGCCCCAAACCCUGAAACGCAGACAGUGACUGAACGGUAGCGAGGACUCCGGAACAGACGGUGCUCGUCUGGAGCAGUCCUCACGUUAGCACGAGGCCAGGGAACACAGACGAGGACGACCCAAACCGACUGUCCCGGCCCAGAUGUUUCUAAGGGAAACAACAGCUUGCCGUGAGACAAGAUGGUCUUUAAAUUGCAAGGAAAAACUGAAUUUACUUGAGAAUCACAAAAUGAAAUUUAGUUCCGUCUUACUAUUCAAGUCAACUCAUGAGGAGCAAAUUGAACCGACAGCCGCGGUGGUGGGAUGAGAGCUGUAAUCGAGAAGCGCAGACACGCGGGAGGUCUGCAGAGUAACUUUGUAUGUCAUGGCUUGGUAACUGGGCAACCCUCUGAGAAAAUCUCCGUUUCAGCCCCCCUUCGAUCACUACCCCCAGCACUGUGGAGAAACCGGGCACAUCUACCCCCUCAAAACCACAGGACAGUCUUACAAAUGUGCCUCUUGCCGCCCCACGCUCCUGGCUUGGAUGAGGGUCGGGCUUGGCCAGGGACCGGGAUGAAGCCCCCCACGUUCACUUCCUGCUCACCCACCGCAGACGUACCAAACCUCCGCGGGUCGCCCCCAGCAGCCCGGCCCACUCGAGGGUCCCCUCUCCCACCACCGACUGCAUCCGCUUGAGAAAACUCACUGCAAUGCCAGCCUAACCACAAACCAAAUGAACUGAAAACAAACCUCCCGGGUGAAAAGGAGACACACAUUAGACCACCUCAAGCCAAACAACUUCUGGAUUGGCUGCUCUCUUUAAAUAUCCACACAAGGGCGCCACUCCGCUGGAUGGAUGGAAACUGAGAGCGACCCACGGUUUGGGGCUGAACCUGAGAGGGUGAAGCUCGGUAAAGCCUUGGGGCCACACGCGCUUGGUCACUUACUAGUGAGGGCGGCGAAGUGGUUGAGUCCACAGCGAAUGCGAGAAACCUGGACUCCUGGGUUGAACUCCGUCAAGCCAAAGAGAGUGGGUGGAAUCAUUUCUGGAAGGGCAGUUUCCAUGAGGUUUGGUCCUUUCCCAAGAAUUCCAUAGCCCCAGACGAAAACAUGUCCUUCUCCUGGAUUACAGUAAAAACAACGGUCAGGAAGUCAAACCAAGUGCAGCCCUCCCUCACUAGAAAUUCGAACCACACCACCAAGAUGCAUUAUAUCCACAUGGACUUUUUUUUUUUUUCCCUCUUCUUGCUUGGCAAGAACAUGUUGACAUUUAAAAUAAUGUUUCUUUUCUCCUCUUUCAAAUUCUUGCUUGUGGAGUAUGUCUAGCCAGCUAACCAAUCUCACAACACAAACGUCCUACAUCUUGAGUGUGCUGGACGGGGCCACUCCAUAAAUCAGCCACAAACCCCACGUGAACACAGGAGAGCCUUAGAGGGGCAGCUUUUCCUAACAGCUCUACGUCUCACACGGAUCAGAAGACCAAGCCAAGUACACACACAACUUCUGGCUGGAUUCUAAAAUUCGUAAUGAUCUUCAGGUCAUAAAAAAUUUACUACUCAUCAGUGGUGCCAGACGUUUAAUGCCAGGGGCUUGGCUCCCAGUACCUGAACCCUAAGGCUCUUCUCCUGUGUGCCCGUGGCUCUUGGUACGGCCUCUCUGGAGAAGGCAGGCCUGGGGGCUUUGGCCCAGGCAUAGGGAGAGGGCGCAGUAGUGCAUCCGCCACUCCAGAGGUUUGGAUAGUUACUCAGCUCUACGCUGGCUGUUCGUCGACCUAUAAAUCACGGCUGUUAUCCUUCUGUCAAGAAUGUCACCCUCACCCUCUAUUAACUGAACUAAACUAACUAGAUCUUCCCACAACCGUGCUCCCCGCACUGAAAACCACAGCCUGAAUCCAGUGGACACCAACUCUUCCUCACCCAACCCACCCACAGCUUCCCAACCAACUGCCUGCAAGAGGGUCUCACCGUUUAAUACAGCACAGCCUGUCCCCCCACUCGCAGCCUGCUUCACCCGCCCGACUCCUGAGAAGGGCAAGCACCGGGGGACGUUCACCUGAAUCAAAGGAAGGGUCCACACUGUUAGGAAGACAAACCAGCGAGAACUUGGAAAUACUGUUUCAUGUACAGAGUAGAUAAGCCCCAGUUCAUUCAUUCCCUCCCCACGUAUCUCCUGAACGUCGUACACAUGCUAAGCUUCUAACUGGGUGCUGGGAAGAUGACAGGCGGCAGGAGAAGCAGUCCCGCUCUCAGACUGCAGCCCAACGGGGGAGGCAGAUGUCAGCCAAAACUAACACAGGAUGGAUCUGUGUUGAAUGCAAUGAAGGAGAGCACAGGGGUCCCUGGCGUGAGUGUCAGGGAACCUGAUCUGGUGUGCAGGGAGGAGCAAUCAGGAGUAAGCGGGCCAGGGGAGAAGAGAAGGGAAUCCCAAGGCAGCGAGAUGGACGUGCGAAGAGAGCAAGGUGAGUGUGGCACGUUCAGGAGCUUAAACAAGGUCAGAGUGGCUGAAGCAGGGGGACAAGGGGGAGUAUUUGUAAGAGGCCGGUGGGGAGAAGGGAAAGCAAAUCACGCAGGGUGCUGUUGAUCAUGGUUAGGAUUUGGUCUCUAUCCUAAGCACAACAACGAGGCAGUAAGGGUUCCAAGUGGGAGAGGGACGUGAUUUCUAGAGGGGAAUGUGAGUGGACGUGGGUAACAAGGGAGAAGGGCCAGGAUGUCGGCAUGAGCGUGAAUUCACUCCGGGAUGUACUGAACUCGCAGUGCCUAGAGACGGCCAAGUGGCACUUCUGCUCAGAGUGACAGAUGGGAGGGUCAGGGGUUGGGAGAACGAAGUGUGGCCAACUUAGCUGUCCAGCAGGAUUUGGUCUUGGCACCCCUACUGAGGAAUAACUUUGCAAGACAGAUUUUAAGUGCUUCCGUGACAGCCAUGAAUCUUUUCAGAGUCACUUGCAAAUGGAGACAGCUGGAGGGUAACAAUCCCUAAGAUGACUCCAAAGGAAUAAAGGGGCUUACUGAUCCGAGAUGACGCGAGGCUGCUGGCCUGGCCUGGCGUCUGCUGCCUGGCUCUCACAGCUUCUCUACCCAACUGGGCUCUGGCACAGGGCCCUCGGCAAAGGCUGAGAAACACUCCAGCAAAGAGCCUUUGGAAACGCACCACUGUUGUCACUGACAGGAUGAGGCUCAGACCACGUAAAGAUCAUGGAUGCGAUGGGCUGCUUCCAAAACAAAUGACCCGUCUGUGCUAGUCACACCAUGGGUAAUCUGCGCCCUUGUGUGUGGGAGUUAGGCCUAGUGACUUGCUUCUAAAGAACAGAAUUCCAGCACACGUGAGCGGAAGGCACUGCCAAGAUGAACUUAUAAAGCACUGGCUUCCGUCUCACUGACGCGCUCUCUCGCCCUCUCACUGGCUCACUCGGCUGAAGCCACGCUGUGAGCCGCCACUUGGAGAAGCCUGCAUGGCAAGGAGCCCAGGAAGGCUUGGACGGCCACUGUGAGCUGGCCAAGCGCCAGCGAGGACCUGGGGCCCCAGGGCCAACAGUCCACGAGGACCUACACCCUGCUGCCAACCACCAGGACGGGCCCGGAGGCAGGGCCUUCCCAAGGUGAACCCCAAGGUGACACCAGCCUUUGAGAGACUCAGAGCCAGAGACCCAGCUAAGCCACCCCUAGGUUCCUGACCCACAGAAACGGUGAGACAAUAAAUGUGUGUUGUUUUAAGCCGCUCCGUGUUGGGGUCCUUUGUCAUGCAGCACAGAUAAUGACGACAUGACCCUGGCUCUGCCCUCACAGGAAGGCCGUGGGAGACACUGAUCUCAGGCCUUGCUAUCCGGAAGCCCAGUCCCUCUUCUAAACAUUUUAUUUGCUGUUUAUCUUAUGGAAACUAAUGAAUCAUUUCAAUGACCACGUUUUCGUCUCUCUUUUGGCUACUAGAGAGCUCACAGCCAAAUCUGCAGCCACUUCUAGCUACUGUGUCAGACCACAGAGAAUGAAUUUUUUCAUCCAAUUAGCUAUCUUUAUCCGUUUGUGCAUAUCUCUUUAUCUAUUAAUAUAUAUUUAAAACCCUUCUGUAUGUUGUCAGAAGUUUGAUGAUAUUAAGUCCUAAUCACUUAGAGAUACAUGCUGAUUUAUGGAUAUGAUGUCUUAGGAUUUGCUUCAAAAUAAUGCAGGACAGAGAAGCAGAUGGAAUUACAGAUGCAACGAGAUUGGCCGUUAGGUGUAUGGGGCUUUUUGGAGAGCAGGGUGGGGAGGGUGAAUGAAAAUGUUCUGGAAUUAGUGGGGACAGUUGCACAACCUUGAGAAUAUACUAAAAACCACUAAGUCACACAAUUUAAAACAGUAAAUUACCUAUUUUUUUGAACGGGCCAUUAAUUGGUAAUUGUUGAACAUGGAUGAUGGAUACAGAGAUUAAUUAUGCAGUGAGGUCUACUUUUUGCUUACAUUUGGAAUUUUCCUUAAUAAAACGUUUAAAACCCCACUGUACUGUACUGACGGUGUGACAGGGAGAGGCCCCCAGCAGGACUGCCAAUGCCCUACUGCAUGAUCUAGGGGCCGCACAGGUGUCUUCAUCAAGGUGCACACCUCAGAUCUGUAUAUUUGGGGGUACACACACUAGACGGCAACAAGAGGCCGACUGUGACAUCACAGGACCUUAUGUAAACAGCCUCACAUCCCUUUCAGAACAAGACAGGGCACACAGCCAUACCUAAACUACUGCUCUAAACCAGGACUAUCUCAUCGAAGUAUUGGUAAUGAUGGCUUUUGCAUCUAAGCUUUCUUUCCAGGCUCCAAUGAGAUCGCCAAGAACUCGGCCCCUUCAAGAGGCAGCCGUAGCACAGCCCCGGGCUGCAGAGGACCUCGUGGGGUCAUACCUGUGUGGAGUCCGUGACCGAGGCCAGCUGCAGGUACUCGGAGUUCCCCCACCCGAAGAGGCUGCCAUCGACCGACACAGCCAGGCAGCAGUCCCCGU